UUCAGGCCAAAUCGCCAGGUACGUCCCUGAAGCUUGUUUUGCCUCAUGACUUCUGGAGCUUUCUUUGAGACGCUGAGGGUUUGGUCUUUGGAAGCUCCGUGUUCUGCUUGGUCUCCCUGUACAAGGUGAAGGUGGUGGGACUUGGUGGCACUGCAUUCCUCCAAGGCAGCUCCUGAUGAUUUCCCUGCAAAAUGCAAUGGGCCCUUCCUUGGCUCUCUGGUCCCAGCAGCAUGCUGGAAGAGGCCCUGCCACUGUGGUAUUUUUGGGUACAGUGGAGCUCCUUCACACACCGUCACCGUGGAGGUAUGCUCACACAACCCCUUUUUGCCUUCUCACGCUCUCCAUUUCCCUUCCCACUUUGCAGACCCCACAAUCGGGGUCUUGCCUCCCCAUCCUGUCCCUCGCUGACUCUCUGCGUGCAGCCAGCUUGUGAGAGGUGGUGGCAAAUUGUCGUGGGCAGUGCUCAUCUCCCCCGGGACAGGACAAGGAGCCCUCUCUGCAUGUGGCCGGGCCAGCCCUGCCCUCUCUGCAGCAGCGAAGGCGAGCGCUGCACAACCCCGAGGAGCUGACAGCAGGUUGCUAUAAUGGGAACGUCACACCAGCUUAAGAGAGAAUUAAUACCCUGCCCUGUGGCUGUACCAGAGCUGGCGUGUAAGGCAGGACAUGGCUGUGCUAAUAUAGAAAAAAAGAGAAUUAUUUACUGAGGCUGCGGGACACAAACAGAUGCUGCUGUGUGAUGAUGCAGGACAGAAGGGACUGAGUCAUCGAACACAGCCCCUGCGGUCAUGAGCUUUCAGCCUUAUAAUCCUCUUUCAAAAACUACACUCCAUCCUACAGUACUUAGGCUUUUGGUCCUGUUUUAUUGCCAUGGGGGGCCUGGUGCAGAGCCCUAAUACUGUGCUGUGAGGCAGGGAUGUGUUCCCAGCCUGCGCUGACUCCCAUCCUCUUUGCUUCAUGCAGGUGACACCUUUUACCCCCCUUGCCUCCCGUAGUGUUCACUGGUGAACGUGGACUGGGGUAUCUGCUCUGGUCUCUCCUUCAUUUCCCUAGGAAACCACACACUUUUCAGGGUUUCGGAAGUGCUCAGCAUCCUGCCUGCCCCAUACCACAGGUGCCUGGAGCAACAAGUGCAACCUGGCCCCGGAGCCGCUCAGGGUGUCCCCGAGCAUCUGCUCUCCUUGCUCUCCCUUCUAUGCCAUGGAAAAACCUCUCCUUCAAAGAGGACAGAAGAAGGAUGCAGCCAGCAGCUGGCAACCCCCCAGAACAUGCUGGUACAUAAAACCUGCCCGGCUCCACACGUUCCCCAGCUGUUUGCCUGAAGACAGCACGCGGCGAGGUCGAGCUGCCUGCCGUGGGUGGGCUGGGAGGAGGAUCCAGCAGGCGAGAAAAACAAAAUCAGGAUCAGAGCCUGAAGAUGUCUUUUUUUUUUUUCUUCCCCCACCUCCUUGGCACGGCGGGCUGUUGCCCCUAUCAUCUCUCUGCAGCUGGCUUGUGCAGAGCAGCUGUCGCUGUGCACCCGGUGUGCUGGGUUUGUGACUGGCCUGGGUCUUUUCGGGCUGGGACAAAACCAGGUCGAGCACACGAGCAUGUGGCUGCCUUUCAGGCAAGCUCUUCUGUGCAGUUCUCCAGCAAAGAGAUUUCCCUUUAUUAAAGGAAGUUACUAGAGUGUCCAGAGCCGCGAAGCAUGGAUUUAAAAUCAUCUAUGAGUUUUGAAAUUGAGAUUAAGUCGUCCUGCUUCAGGGCACAAGAUAAACUCUAAAGGAGGGGACAAGAUGGAUUUUUUUUCCUUUGAGCAGAUUAGGCUAUAACUUCCAGAAGGGGUUUUGAUUUGAUAGGUGUGCUUUACCAUCUUUGCCUGCAGCAGCAGUUACUGUGGACUAAAUGAGACAGGCUGACCAAGGGAUGUCCCAAAUAUCCACUCUCUGCUGCAUAUGCUAAAAGCAGAGGAAAGAGCGUGGACAUGGUUCAUUCAUUGCAGUGGUGUGCCAGGAUCCAGGUAUGGAUGCAGCAUGUGACGGGGAUGGGAUCCUUUUGAGGACUUCUUUUAUGAGGUGUGGACCCCCUCUCCCUCCUACCACUGCAUCUCUCCUGGUCCCAGGCACCCAGCAGAGCUCCAGGGCAUGAUCCCAGAGCAGCCUCCUGCCUGCUUCUGCUGCAGAGGCUCAGGGCAAGAGAGAGAAAGCCUUGUGUUGUGGUGAAACAGCACAGACACCCAGCCAUCGAGGAGGACCAGACUGUAGUGUUGUGAUCGGUGUGGGAAACCUGCCCUUCUCCAAGCCCGGCUGUUCCUGCAUUCCCGUUUUAUAGCAGGGCCAAAGAUGGCCUGUUCUCAAGGCACUUUUCAAAGGCACUUCAGUAAUUCUCAUUAUCCUCAGCGCAAAGACCACGGGCCAGAUUUCAGCAGCACUUGGCUCCUUUUCAGGCCAAAAAUUCAGUCUUCUGUUGAUGCUUUCUUUCAGCUGAAGGAAGAAGGAGGUUGAGUUUUGCUUGGAUUGUCCCUGGCAAAAAGAGAAAGCGCCCACGCGCUCCAUGUGCUUUGCAGGCUGAUCCAAGGCCCGGCGGAUACGUUCCCUUUGACUUCAACGCCGUUUGAAUUUCGGCCUGCAGUACAACAUGAUAUCACCCGUGCACUGAAUGGCUUGUGCCGCUGCCGGCUCAAAAUUGCAAUGACCUAAUGGUACUGAGAGUUUCUGUGAUCUAUCUCAUUUGCUUCCCUCCCCAGAAGAUGGUGUGUUUGAUGAGCUGUGCCUGCUGCCUGGACCUGGGAGAAGAGGCAAGCGCAGACAGAACCCCACCAGGGUCCUUCUGGGCUGCUGAAACGCAUCCUGCUGUAGGAUGGAGAGCAACACAGCAUCAUCCACACAAACCCUUGCCCUUCACAGCAUGUGGUUGUCCUCAGGCAACUUGGAAAGCAAAUUUUUUCCACCAGCUCAACAGUUGGAGAUGUUUUCUCCCUCCUUCAAACCUGAGCUGCAGCUCGGUUGCUGCAGUGAAUGACAAAAUGGAGCAGCUGCUUUGUGGCCAGGGUGCCCGUUUCUUGCAGCGUUGCUCCGAACGAGUCGAUGACGUUGGAUAACACAGGAAAGAUUUUGUCAAGGGCGGCAGUAAGGACAGCAGCUGCCUUGGUGUUCUUGGCUUCGCCAGCUCAGCUCACUCCAGGUUUGUUGUUGCAGUUUGUUCCAGCAGUCCCCAGGCACGUUGAAUUCCUGCAGGCUGGAUCUUUCUGCCUGAAGUGAUCUUAUUUUGGCAGAGCGGCUUCCUCGGGAGCUGGAGCUGGCAGACUGGAUCGUGUGUGCCACCCAUGCUGCAUUUUCAGUGGUGUGGGAGCUGGGUUUAGAUGGGCACGGAGCUGGUUUCCCAUUCAUGGCAAGCAGGCCUGGGCUGCCAGGCUGAUUCUUGCCUCGAGCCCGUCUGUCUCUUUGUUAACUUCCAGCAAAGUUAUUCUUGGGCUGCGCUGCUCUGAGGUGAUGAAAAAUAGACCCUCCUGGGCAUGAAAGUGUUUUCAGUUUAGAGCGUGUGGAAGUCUUGCCAAGGAUGACAAAAGCAAAGACCCCAAGCAAAGAAACGCCUCGCUUGUGAAUCUUCCAGGGAGAAGAUGAGAUUUCCAUUUGGGACCCAAACUGGAGCUGGGCGCUGCGCUGAAAGGUGUGUGCUGGCACAGAGCACGUGAGGAUGCAGACUGUGGGUACCAGGGACACCAAAUGCAGCUACAUGGGGCAGGGGCAUCCCAUCUAACACCCUGCUGAGCCCCAGUUUCAUUCCUCGGUCGCAGGGAUUGCAGCUGUUGGAGCAAGUGAUGUUCCCUGCGAGGUCUGCGAAGAGCAGCCUUUAACGUGGCUUCCCCAGCCUGUUGUGCUGCCCCGUGAAUAUCCAAGAGUCUGUAAUGCCUCAGCAGCCUCCCCCUGCCUCAGUUUACCCUCCCCUUGGUCUAAUUAGCUAAAAAGUACUCAAAUAAAGCCCUCCUAUUGACUUUGCCAGGGUGUUUUGAGAUUUAAUUAACAGUCGGUAGAAAGUACUGAGAUCAUCCGAUGAAAGCAGCUAUAGAUAUGCAAAGCAGCGUCAUUAUGCAAAGAUAAAAUUUAGAACCGUCACAAAAAAAAAUAAGUGUAAAAUUGAAU